rnacentral:rRNA from 1 species
UACGGAGGAUCCGAGCGUUAUCCGGAUUUAUUGGGUUUAAAGGGUGCGUAGGCGGACUUAUAAGUCAGCGGUGAAAGUUUGCAGCUUAACUGUAAAAUUGCCGUUGAAACUGUUAGUCUUGAGUGUAAAUGAGGUAGGCGGAAUGUGUUGUGUAGCGGUGAAAUGCGUAGAUAUCUGGAGGAACACCAAUGGCGAAGGCAGCUUACUGGACGACAACUGACGCUGAGGCACGAAAGCGUGGGUAGCGAAAGGG